AGAGUUUGAUCCUGGCUCAGGAUGAACGCUAGCGGCAGGCUUAACACAUGCAAGUCGAGGGGCAGCGCGGGUAGCAAUACCUGGCGGCGACCGGCAAACGGGUGCGGAACACGUACAGAACCUACCUUUGUCUGGGGCAUAGCCCGGAGAAAUCCGGAUUAACUCCCCAUAAUAUAGAUGAGUGGCAUCACUUGACUAUUAAAAAUUUAUUGGACAGAGAUGGCUGUGCGUCCCAUUAGCUAGUUGGUAGGGUAACGGCCUACCAAGGCAACGAUGGGUAGCUGGUGUGAGAGCACGACCAGCCACACGGGCACUGAGACACGGGCCCGACUCCUACGGGAGGCAGCAGUGAGGAAUAUUGGUCAAUGGACGCAAGUCUGAACCAGCCAUGCCGCGUGAAGGAUGAAGGCCUUCUGGGUUGUAAACUUCUUUUACCUGGGAAGAAAACUACGGUUUCUACCGUAGCCGACGGUACCAGAGGAAUAAGCACCGGCUAACUCCGUGCCAGCAGCCGCGGUAAUACGGAGGGUGCAAGCGUUAUCCGGAUUUACUGGGUUUAAAGGGUGUGUAGGCGGGCUUUUA
rnacentral:rRNA from 1 species